rnacentral:rRNA from 1 species
AGCAGCCGCGGUAAUUCCAGCUCCAAUAGCGUAUAUUAAAGUUGUUGCAGUUAAAAAGCUCGUAGUUGAAUUUCGGGGUUAGUAGGUUGGUCAUGCCUCUGGUAUGUACUGGUCUCACUGAUUCCUCCUUCCUUAUGAACCGUAAUGCCAUUAAUUUGGUGUUGCGGGAAAUUUGGACUGUUACUUUGAAAAAUUAGAGUGUUUAAAGCAAGCUAACGCUUGAAUACAUUAGCAUGGAAUAAUGAAAUAGGACGUUCGAUCUUAUUUUGUUGGUUUCUAGGAUUGACGUAAUGAUUAAUAGGGAUAGUUGGGGGCAUUAGUACUCAAUUGUCAGAGGUGAAAUUCUUGGAUUUAUUGAAGACUAACUACUGCGAAAGCAUUUGCCAAGGAUGUUUUCAUUAAUCAAGAACGAAAGUUAGGGGAUCGAAGACGAUCAGAUACCGUCGUAGUCUUAACCAUAAACU